GAUCCUGGCUCAGGAUUACGCUGUUCUCAGGCCUAACACAUGCAAGUCGAGGGGUAGAACACUUCGGUGUUUGAGACCGGCGCACGGGUGCGUAACGCGUAUGCGAUCUACCUUAUACGGGUUAAUAGCCCAGAGAAAUUUGGAUUAAUGCCUCAUAGUGUUAUCGAAUCGCAUGGUUUGAUAACUAAAGUUCCAACGGUAUAAGAUGAGCAUGCGUCCCAUUCAUUAGUUGGUAAGGUAAAUUCUUACCCAGAGAAUGAUGGGAAUGGGGCCUGAGAGGUAGAUCCCCCACAUGGGUACUGAAACGUGGACCAUACUCCUUGAGGAGGCAUCAGUGAGGAAUAUUGGUCAAUGGGCGCAAGCCUGAACCAGCCAUGCCGCGUGCAGGAAGAAGCAUCUAUGGUGUGUAAACUGCUUUUAUACAGGAAGAAACACCCCCACGUGUGGGGGCUUGACGGUACUGUAGGAAUAAGGAUCGGUUAACUCCGUGCCAGCAGCCGCGGUAAUACGGAGGAUCCAAGCGUUAUCCGGAAUCAUUGGGUUU
rnacentral:rRNA from 1 species